ACAUACUUUUUAGAUAUACCUGAAACAGUUGCAGAUAACGAUGGCUCUCCAACAGUUUGUGUGCUGUUUCACUGUGGUGAUCAUUUCCUUAUGCAAAGGUUGUCAUUCAGAGCAGCCCGCAUGUGGCAGCAGGGCUGUGAACAGCAGCAACAUCACAAGAGACCAGCAUGCAACACCAGGAAGUUGGCCCUGGUACGCUGAAGUAAACUCUCUCUUUGGAGGGUCUCUAAUCACCGACCAGUGGGUGCUGACAACUGCAUCCAUCACACUAUUUGAUUUCAGUAGCAUAGAGGUGUAUCUGGGCCGCCACAGCAGGUCAGCUUCAAACCCAAAUGAAGUAAAUCGGACAGUGGUCAACUUCACCUGCCAUCCUGAAUUCAACUCAUCAACUCGUGAGAACGACAUUUGUCUUCUGAAGCUGUCGGCUCCUGUGAAUUUCACAGACUACAUUCAGCCGAUCUGCUUAGCCUCAGAAAACAGCACGUUCGACAAUGAGACCAGCAGCUGGGUCAUCGGUUUUGGUGACGAUGGUAAUGAUUCCAACACCCUGCAAGAGCUAAGAAUAAAAAUAGUGGAAAACUUUAAGUGCAAAUUCAUCUAUGAAGACUACUUUAGGAUCGCCGUUGUGACAGAGAAUGAGAUCUGUGCUGGCUUCGAGGCUGGAGGCAUUGAUCCAUGUCAGUUUGACAUAGGGGGACCGCUCAUGACCAAAAAAGAGUCAGUCUGGGUCCAGAAUGGACUUCUCAGUUAUACCUUAUGUGGUAUUUUGGGAAGACCUUCAGUGUUCACUCGUGUAUCCCAGUACCACAAAUGGAUCAGCGACACAGUCACAGGGACUCCACCAGGCUUUGUUCCAGUCACCACCCCAGGCAGUUCAACAUCACCAACCACUAAACUCACCACUCUCCCUACAACUUCCCUCAAUAUGUGACAGUGUGUUAGACAGUGAUGAAAACCUGAUCUACUUCACUCAUUUCUCUUCAGUCUUUGCUCUGUUCUGUAAUAACAUGCAAACAUGAAAAAUGUUGAACAAUUUUCCCCUUUUUUUCCUUUUUUUUGCAUUCAUCAAAUUUUAUAAUUUUAAUGUGAAUGUUACACUUCUUACUCCACACUGUAAAAAAAAAAAGAAAGAAAGAAAAAUCUGUAACAAAACCAUGCCCUAAUCUACAGGUUUUCUGUUAAAAUAGAAAAUUCUGUAGACUUACAGUAUGUUUUCUGUACCAUUAAUAAACAUUUUUGUUAACAGUAAAAUUGAAAAUUCAGUUUAUAUCACCAUUUACAGGCAUUUGCUUCAAACAGGACACCUGACAAACACUGACAUACAUUUCAUUAGUACUUUCAAGCUAAAAUCAAUACUGUGGUUGUUAAUAAGUUAAAUUGUGAUUUACGUCCAUGUCUCCACUCACGAUACAGUAUACGGAGUGAGUUAUGAGCAAAAGCUCACCUUUCAUUAGCAAAUUAAAUUCACCUUUACAUAUACUAUUUCACUUUGUUAUGUGUUAUGUCAUGUGUACAGCACUUUGUUUUCAGCUGAGAGUUCUUUUGAAAGUGCUACAUAAAUACAUUGCUUGCUUGCUUAUCAGUGAAUCCGAGAGAACAUUUGUCCCAGAUUAACACUGCAGGGUCUUUACCUUACAAGGAGACAACAUUUGUUGACUGUUGAGCUGUACUAUAUGAAUAAAACUGAACAGAUCUAAAGAAAGUGUUCCUAAACUUUUGCUUUAUUAGAACAGGGCGGAUGGAUGUCCACAGCCAUCUCAGCAUCAGGCUGACAGGAUUUUUCCCAUAUAAUACAUAAAUAAAAUGGGCAGAAUAAAAAAUGUAAGAAUGUAAGAAAAAUAAAUCAAGGCAUUUCACAGACAGAUGGUCAAAACACCAGAUGCAAAACCAAUCAUUUCUAAGUUUGUAUUAUGUCCAGUAUUACUUUGGUACAACCUGGCUCUGACACCAAAGAACACACCAGAAACAUCUGACAGAACUUGAGGUCCUUUAAUUCAUUUUCUAUUAAAACAAAUGUUAAGAGAUUUUCAAAUGUUUCAAGUAUUAUUCCCACUUCCAUUUGUACGUUAUUGAAAGUUUAUCUUUAAUUUCAGUGUUAAUAGUUGUUUACCCAUUUAUUCUUUCCAUUUAAUCGUAUUUUAUGAUUUUACUGUUUCACUAGAAGUGAAGCUGAAGUAAAGACAAAAGCAUAGUGUUCUCAGAUAUGAUUCACCCAGUACAUUUCCUCUGCACCUGGUUCUCUACGAGCCGUUUCACUCCCAGGAAGGGGAGAGCAGGACGUUCUUAUCUACACUCCCAAAUACCAAGAGGGGCCUGUUCUUCAGAGUCACACACACAGACACACACACACACACACACACACACACACACAGAAAGCUGCAUAUAUGUGAUAUUUAGUGAUUAUCUACAGAACACACACACCCAGCUAAACUGGAACAAACCUGUUUCUCAGAGGUAAAUCUUUGUCUCCUCCUUAAACAGUUGAAGCCACUAUGUGACUAUAAAUAAAACCUCUGCCUGCGCUCGGUGUGGGAUCUCCUCGAAAUCUCACCCAGCGUGCGCACGUUGUUACCAUCCAAACUGUUUUGAGUGUCUUUAUUUCGCCUGAAGAAUGUCUUGUUCAAAUAUUUACUCUUUACAACAAACAAACAAACAAAAACGUCCACUGUUCAAAAUCAUCCUCGGUGCAACCUUUUCGUUGCUAUUCUCAGUUUCUAAGCUGUUUAACUUUAUGCAGGGAAGAGAAGUUUGACAUAAUACACAACUGUUAAAUGUUAGAGAAGCAUCUGAAAAUGAGGUCACGGUUACUUCCCAAGCAAAAACCUUUACUUGUGCUCACAGACCUUAAAUUGCAACAAAUAAGAAAAUAAUAAGACAAAAUGAUCAUUAUUAGAUGUUCAGCUGGUAGGCAAACUGCAGCGGGUCUAGAUCUCUCCCGACUAGUGGGCGAAGGUGGUGUAGUAUGAUCCUCUCCAUGGUCUUCAUCAGGUGUGAAGUCAGGGCAACGGGUCUGAAGUGGUUCGGCUCCUUGGGGUGCAUUGUCUUUGGGACUGGCACCACGCAAGAGGUUUUCCAUGUAAUGGGGAUGUAUGUGAUAGCCUCACAGAACUGAUCUGCACAGUCCCUCAAUAGUCUGGAGUUGAUUCCAUCUGGACCUGUGGCCUUCCUGGUUUUCAUCUUCAUCAGCUGACUCUGCACCUGGUCAGUUGUGAUGGAGAGGCUGCAGUGUAGGGUAUGGGUGAUGAAAGCAAGGAAAAAAAGAUUAUCUAGACUCAACCUGUCUUGAACAUGUGCACAGUAACCAAAAUUGUACCCAAAUUAUAGAACAAAGCAGUGUUAAUUUAACAGGAUAACAAUUAUUUGUAAAAGGGUUCUUCCUUCCUCUUAAAGUGUGCAUAACGUACACAGACAGAAGGAGAAAAAAACUGAUUAGGUCUGUUCCAGUAUGUUAAGGAGUUAUGUGGGAAAUUUGGUUUCAGCUACUACACAAUUCAGUUGAUCCAUGUAUCACUGUUUUUAAGAACAAGUACAAAAACCAACAAAUCUGACUUGAUUUGUUGCUGGUGCCAUAACAACUUAUAGAAGUGGGUGGAGCUGAAUAAAUGGUUUAAAUAUUUAAGGUGUAAGAUGAUCUGAAACAGGUGCAGUUAACGAUGGCUCUCCAACCGUUUGUGUGCUGUUUCUUUGUGGUGAUCAUUUUCUUCUGCAAAGGUUGUCAUUCAGAGCAGCCUGCAUGUGGCAGCAGGGCUGUGAAGAGCAGCAACAUCACAGGAGGUCAGGAUGCAACACCAGGAAGUUGGCCCUGGUACGCUGAAGUAAACUCUCUUUUUGGAGGGUCUCUAAUCACCGACCAGUGGGUGCUGACAACUGCAUCCAUCACACUAUUUGAUUUCAGCAGCAUAGAGGUCUAUCUGGGCCGCCACAGCAGGUCAGCUUCAAACCCAAAUGAAGUAAAUCGGACAGUGAUCAAUGUCACCUGCCAUCCUGAAUUCAACUCGUCGACUCAUGAGAACAACAUUUGUCUUCUGAAGCUGUCGGCUCCUGUGAAUUUCACAGACUACAUUCAGCCGAUCUGCUUAGCCUCAGAAAACAGCACGUUUGACAAUGAGACCAGCAGCUGGGUCAUUGGUUUUGGUGACGAUGGUACCCUCCAAUUAGGUAAUGAGUCCAACACCCUGCAAGAGGUAAGAAUAAAAAUAGUGGAAAACUUUAAGUGCAAAUUCAUCUAUGAAGACUACUUUAGGAUCGCCGUUGUGACAGAGAACGAGAUCUGUGCUGGAUUCGAGGCUGGAGGCAUUGAUCCAUGUCAGUUUGACAUAGGGGGACCGCUCAUGACCAAAAAAGAGUCAGUCUGGGUCCAGAAUGGACUUCUCGGUUAUACCUUAUGUGGUAUUUUGGGAAGACCUUCAGUGUUCACUCGUGUAUCCCAGUACCACAAAUGGAUCAGCGACACAGUCACAGGGACUCCACCAGGCUUUGUUCCUGUCACCACCCCAGGCAGUUCAACAUCUCCAACCACUAAACUCACCACUCUCCCUACAACUUCCCGCAAUAUGUGACAGUGAUGAAAACCUGAUCUACUUCACUCAUUUCUCUUCAGUCUGUGUUCUUGUUGUUUUGCUGCACAUAUUUGCUGGAACUGGUAAAAUGUAGAUUAACACAUUUGCUCUGUUCCAUAAUUACAUGCAAACAUGAAAAAUGUUAAACAAUUUUCCCUUUUUUGCCCUUUUUGUUUUCAUGAAAACCUUUUAAGGUGAAUGUUACACUUUUUACUCCACACUGUAAAAAAAGAAAAAUCCAUAACAAAAUCAUGCUCUGGGAAUUUUCUGCUGGGACGUUUUCUGAUUUUUUACAGAAGUUUACAGGCUUUUCUGUUAUAUUGGAAAAUUUUGUAGACUUACAGUAUGUUUUCUAUAUCAUUAACAAACAUUGUCGUUAACAAUAAAAUGUUUAUAUCA